GGUAGUCCACGCCGUAAACGAUGUCGACUUGGAGGUUGUGCCCUUGAGGCGUGGCUUCCGGAGCUAACGCGUUAAGUCGACCGCCUGGGGAGUACGGCCGCAAGGUUAAAACUCAAAUGAAUUGACGGGGGCCCGCACAAGCGGUGGAGCAUGUGGUUUAAUUCGAUGCAACGCGAAGAACCUUACCUACUCUUGACAUCCAGAGAACUUAGCAGAGAUGCUUUGGCGCCUUCGGGAACUCUGAGACAGGUGCUGCAUGGCUGUCGUCAGCUCGUGUUGUGAAAUGUUGGGUUAAGUCCCGCAACGAGCGCAACCCUUAUCCUUUGUUGCCAGCGGUUAGGCCGGGAACUCAAAGGAGACUGCCAGUGAUAAACUGGAGGAAGGUGGGGAUGACGUCAAGUCAUCAUGGCCCUUACGAGUAGGGCUACACACGUGCUACAAUGGCGCAUACAAAGAGAAGCGACCUCGCGAGAGCAAGCGGACCUCAUAAAGUGCGUCGUAGUCCGGAUUGGAGUCUGCAACUCGACUCCAUGAAGUCGGAAUCGCUGGUAAUCGUAGAUCAGAAUGCUACGGUGAAUACGUUCCCGGGCCUUGUACACACCGCCCGUCACACCAUGGGAGUGGGUUGCAAAAGAAGUAGGUAGCUUAACCUUCGGGAGGGCGCUUACCACUUUGUGAUUCAUGACUGGGGUGAAGUCGUAACAAGGUAACCGUAGGGGAACCUGC
rnacentral:rRNA from 1 species